GGGUCAGUAGGUUGGUCGUGCCACCGGUACGUACUGGUCUCACUGAUUCCUCCUUCCUGAAGAACCGUAAUGCCAUUAAUUUGGUGUUGCGGGGAAACAGGACUGUUACUUUGAAAAAAUUAGAGUGUUUAAAGCAAGCUAACGCUUGAAUACAUUAGCGUGGAAUAAUGAAAUAGUACGAUCGAUCCUAUUUUGUUGGUUUCUAGGAUUGACGUA
rnacentral:rRNA from 1 species